rnacentral:rRNA from 1 species
AAUCUUCCACAAUGGGCGAAAGCCUGAUGGCGCAACGCUGCGUGAGUGAAGAAGGUCUUCGGAUCGUAAAACUCUGUUGUAAGGGAAGAGCAAGUACAGUAGUACCCGGCUGUACCUUGACGGUAUCUUAUUAGACAGCCACGUCUAACUACGCGACAGCAGCCGCGGUAAUACGUAGGUGGCAAGCGUUGUCCGGAAUUUUUGGGCGUAAAGCGCGCGCAGGCGGUCCUUUAAGUCUGAUGUGAAAGCCCACGGCUCAACCGUGGAGGGUCAUAGAAAACUGGGGGGCUAGAGUGCAGAAGAGGAAAGUGGAAUUCCAAGUGUAGCGGUGAAAUGCGUAGAGAUUUGGAGGAACACCAGUGGCGAAGGCGACUUUCUGGUCUGUAACUGACGCUGAGGCGCGAAAGCGUGGGGAGCAAAC